rnacentral:rRNA from 1 species
GAGCGGGUACGGUGCGGAACACGUGUGCACCUGCUUUAAUUCCUUUGGGGGGAUAGCCUUUCGAAAGAGAUAUACCCAUAAUAUGUUGAAUGGCAUCACCUCCGAAACAUUUGAAAACUCCGGUGGAUAGAGAUGGGCACGCGCAAGAUUAGAUAGUUGGUGAAGGUAACGGCUCACCAAGUCUACGAUCUUUAGGGGGCCUGAGAGGGUGAUCCCCCACACUGGUACUGAGACACGGACCAGACUCCUACGGGAAAGGGGGCAAGCAAGUUGGAAAGGAAUAUUGGACACAUGGGUGAGAGCCUGCAUCCACCAUCCCGCGUGAAGGACGACUGCCUAUGGGUUGUAAACUUCUUUUGUAUAGGAUAAACUACCUCGUGAGGGUAGCUGAAGGUACUAUACGAAUAACACCGGCUAACUCCGUGCCAGCAGCCGGGUAAUANGGAGGGUGAAGCGUUAUCCGGAUUUAUUGGGUUUAAAGGGUCCGUAAGCGGAUCUGUAAGUCAGUGGUGAAAUCUCACAGUUAAUGUGAAACUGCAUUGAUACUGAGGUCUCCGAGUGUUGUUGAAGUACUGGAAUAAGUAUGUAGCGGUGAAAUGG